UACGAAGGUGGCAAGCGUUGUUCGGAUUUACUGGGCGUAAAGGGUGCGUAGGUGGUUAGGUAAGCCCUCCGGGAAAUCUUCAGGCUUAACCUGAAAAGGUCGGGGGGGACUGCCUGGCUAGAGGACGGGAGAGGAGCGCGGAAUUCCCGGUGUAGCGGUGAAAUGCGUAGAUAUCUGGAGGAACACCGGUGGCGAAGGCGACAUCCUGGACCGGUAUUGACGCUGAGGCGCGAAAGCCAGGGGAGCAAACGGG
rnacentral:rRNA from 1 species